rnacentral:lncRNA from 1 species
AUCUCCUCGACCACAACUCCCAGUAGAAAUGCGCCAUCAGGUUGUAGAAGAUAUCGCCAAAACCCACUCGCCCAAUACCCAGCGGGACAUGAUAACGGCAGAGAAUAAUUUAGAACUGAGAAUGAAGCAGCCAACAUUUUUCAACUAUCCGACGCCGACAUAGGAAUCUCUGCCAGCUUUCCCUCAGGAAAGUCCAAGGUCACAGUAUUCUUAAAGAUGGCAGAGGUCACAGGAUACAAGGUCACAUGAAGAGGUUAGGGGUCAGCCUCAGUUACCAAGAAGACCAGACACAUUACCUGGUGAUCAUGACCCUGGAGGACAAAAUAGGGGUCAAGGUUACAGAGGUCAAGGUCAGAGAGUUCACAGACCACAACCAGCAAUACAUACAGUUAAAGAAGACCCGGACAUGCCC